GAUUAACGCUGGCGGCGUGCAUAACACAUGCAAGUCGAACGAUGAAACUUAACUGAUUUCUUCGGAAUGAUUUUAAGUGGAUUAGUGGCGGACGGGUGAGUAACGCGUGAGUAACCUGCCUUGGAGAAGGGGAUAGCCUUUGGAAACGAAGAAUAAUACCCUAUGAUAUGAUAAUAUCCCAUGAUAUUAUCAUCAAAGAUUUAUCGCUCUAAGAUGGACUUGCGUCUGUUUAGUUAGUUGGUGAGGUAACAGCUCACCAAGGCAGCGAUCAGUAGCCGGCUUGAGAGAGUGUACGGCCACAUUGGGACUGAGACACGGCCCAGACUCCUACGGGAGGCAGCAGUGGGGAAUUUUGCACAAUGGGGGAAACCCUGAUGCAGCGACGCCGCGUGAUUUAGAAGGCCUUCGGGUUGUAAAAAUCUUUUGUAUGGGAAGAAAAUGACAGUACCAUACGAAUAAGGACCGGCUAAUUACGUG
rnacentral:rRNA from 1 species